GACGAACGCUGGCGGCGUGCUUAACACAUGCAAGUCAGGGGGGCGGGGUAACCCGUCACCGGCGAACGGGUGCGUAACACGUGAGCGACCUGCCCGAGUGUGGGGGAUAGCCGGCCCAACGGCCGGGUAAUACCGCAUACGCCUGCGGCGUAGAGGCCGACAGGGAAGCCCGUAAGGGGCACACGGAGGGGCUCGCGGCCUAUCAGCUAGUUGGUGCGGUCACGGCGCACCAAGGCGAUGACGGGUAGCUGGUCUGAGAGGAUGGCCAGCCACAUUG
rnacentral:rRNA from 1 species